CUUUGGAGGAAGGGGUUUCUUUCGGCCUCCAGCAGCAUUCGACCGAACUGUAGGCCGGCGGAAACUACUUGCCUCCGUCG
rnacentral:pre_miRNA from 1 species